rnacentral:lncRNA from 1 species
CUCUCCACUCCUGCCUCCUGGAGACUCAGCGAGCUCGUCCCUCAUUGACUCUACAUCACCCCUCACCCACCGGUCCCAGGUGCACACACGAGACCAGGCCCAGAGGUUGUCUGCAGAGUGAGAUUAUGGCGAAGCAUUUUAUUCUUUUUACAAACCUGCUUUUUCUCAGUUUUCCACAUUGGAUUUGCCAGCUACCUGCCUUUGCAGGACACCUCAGAAGUUACAGACUUGCCUGUGGAAAUGCAGAGAGCACCUGAGGUAUUUCCCGGACUCUCCAGUAGUAGCCUUGAAUGGCUGACCAACCGCAGUCACCUGCCAGAUCUUCUCAGAACCGGCCAGCCCACCAGCGACAGGCCCAUUAAGUGGCCUGGCCCAGCCCAGAUGGAAAACCCCCUCCACGUGACUUUCUAAAGAACAUGCAUGAAGACAAAACACCAGGUGCCUCAGGUGUGACACCCUGAGGACACAUCACCUGUACAGUAUCCUAACCCACCCAAGAUGACACAGUAAGGUAAAACCACAGUAGAGCCCAGGCCUGUUUGACUCUGAAGUCCAGGCUCCUUUCCAACUUAGUGCCCUAAAGGCCUGAUUGGGGUGGGGGUAGGCAGGAAGAUUCAAGCACUGAUUGUUUGUAGCCCAGGCUGGGAGGGCAACAGCUCUAGAAAAAAAGUCACUCACUGCUUUAACCAUCUUCCAGCUAACUGCAGUGAGGUGUACAGGGCCAUGGGGCUCUGGGAUGAACUCUUCCACCUCUACACCUUGUAAACAAGGAUUCCAGACACACCCUCCAAAUGGGAAUGGAGACACACGUUUGGCAGAGUUGGACAGUAACGCUGCUCUCCUAUCAGCCUGGACUUUGAGGGGAGUGGAAAACAUGAGUGUGGAGGUGCAGCAGUCCUGGUAUCCCCUGAAACCAGCCUGUGGGGGGAACAGUCUUCCCAGGGGAGCUGCUCAGGAUCGUCCUGGUCCCAUGCAUCAGGAAGAAAAGGGAACCUGAGAGCAGAGGGAAAAUGCAGAAAGUGGGGCAGGGAGACUGCUCCCUGAAACCCCCAUGGGCUGCUGGUCCAAGCAGAAAGUGUUGUCGGAGGGGGGAGAGGCAGGGUGAAAUGGGACAGGAAACGAGGACUUCCGAUGAGGAGGAGGAGGGGGCAGUGGGCUGCGGGUCUUGGGGACUGAACAGAAUGGGGUUUGCUAGACAGAGCUUUCGUCUACCCACUCCUGAAGUCCUGCUGGACCUCAGCUGGCCCUUGUGAACUGUUGAGGGGGAUAUAAACACAAAGGCCUGCAUUCCUGUGGGUGCACAAUCCUAAGAGACCAUGGACUGCCUGUGUGUGGUGGGAACAGGAAAAGGAGGCUGAGUGUAGCCCUGCUUGGAAUUUAGUGUCCACCACAGAUGUAUCCACUACCCAGGGCCAAAGACUCGGCAGCCUCAGAAGACUCAAUGGAAGCUGAGCACAGGACUAGAAAGGGUCAGGGCCCUCCUCUGUAUGUAGGGGUGGCACAUGGCCACUAGCUGGGUGAUGGGGCACUGAGAAAUUAAAUGUUUGACAUAAAAAUGUAAUCAGGACCCGAGAGGAGGUGGGUGGUGUAAUGAACAGCAUCCUAGAAGUCCGGUACAGAUUUCACGUGUCACCUUCUAGUUCCUUAUCUGAAAUUGAAAGGUGAGGUCAGGUGCAGUGGCUCAGGCCUGUAAUCCCAGCACUUAGGGAGGCUGAGGAGGGCAUAUCAUUGAGGUCAGGUGUUUGAGACCAGCCUGGCCAACAUGGUGAAACCUCUACUAAAAAUACGAAAAUUAGCCGGCUGUGCUGCACACGCCUGUCGUCCCAGCUACUUGGGAGGCUGAGGCAGGAGAAUCCCUUGAACCUGGGAGGCAGAGGCUGCAGUGAGCUGAGAUCACACCACUGCACUCAAGCCUGGGCAUCACAGCGAGACUUCUUAAAAAAAAAAAAAAAAUUUAAAGGUGAGCCAGUUCAGGCUUCUAGAGGCACUGCAGUUACAGACGGUAAACUGCACAAAUCCUGGGUGUGAAGCUGUUUUUUCCUGUGUAACCACCACCCAUUGACAGCAUCCCAGAAAGUUCAAGUGUGUCCCUUCCCAGUUUACAGCCACCCGCCUCCCACCCUCACUUCUAAAUCCACCGAUUAGCAGUGUGUCUUGGAAAUUAAUAUACAAGGAAUCAUAUAGUAUGUGCUCUUUUGUGUUUGGCUUCUUUGCUCAAGAUGUCCGUGAGAUUCAGCCGGGUUGCCUCUCUCUGUAAUAUGUUAAUUUAGGUGUAGUAUCCAUUGUCUGGAAAUACAAUUGUCUAUUCUCUACUGGUGGAUAUUUGAGUGUCUCUGGUUUGGGGCCAUUAUAAUAAAACUGUUGUGAAUCUUCUUAUA